GCGAUGUCACGGAAUAGUCAAUUUAUUCUGUGACGUUGAUCUGAAAAACUAAUAAAGUAAUACGUAUUUUUUGCGGUGUAAGGUGUUACAUAUGGACAGAAAAUAAUUGAUAUCCAUUGAUUGAUACUUAGGAAAAAAUAAAGAGCAUUUCAAGGAAGAGUUUGAAAAAAUAGCUGUUAAAAGUAUGGAGAAACACGGAGUUGUACCAGAUGUUAUUGAUGUUGCUCCUGAACAAGUGGCUGAGGUCACCUAUCCAAGCGGAGUU